rnacentral:rRNA from 1 species
UCGAGUCUUUGAACGCAAGUUGCGCCCGAAGCCUUCGGGCCGAGGGCACGUCUGCCUGGGUGUCACGCAUCGUAGCCCC